AACGAACGCUGGCGGCAGGCUUAACACAUGCAAGUCGAACGCCCCGCAAGGGGAGUGGCAGACGGGUGAGUAACGCGUGGGAACAUACCCUUUCCUGCGGAAUAGCCCCGGGAAACUGGAAUUAAUACCGCAUACGCCCUACGGGGGAAAGAUUUAUCGGGGAAGGAUUGGCCCGCGUUGGAUUAGCUAGUUGGUGGGGUAAAGGCCUACCAAGGCGACGAUCCAUAGCUGGUCUGAGAGGAGGAUCAGCCACAUUGGGACUGAGACACGGCCCAAACUCCUACGGGAGGCAGCAGUGGGGAAUAUUGGACAAUGGGCGCAAGCCUGAUCCAGCCAUGCCGCGUGAGUGAUGAAGGCCUUAGGGUUGUAAAGCUCUUUCACCGAUGAAGAUAAUGACGGUAGUCGGAGAAGAAGCCCCGGCUAACUUCGUG
rnacentral:rRNA from 1 species